UGGGGAAUAGUUUAAUGGUAGAAUAGCGGACUCUGACUCCGUUAAUCUUGGUUCGAAUCCAGGUACCCCAGCCA
rnacentral:tRNA from 1 species